AACGUAGGAGACAAACGUUAUCCGGAGUUACUGGGCGUAAAGGGCGUGUAGGUGGUUUCGUAAGUCUGGCGUGAAAUUUCUCGGCUUAACCGAGGCAGGUCGUCGGAUACUGCGGGACUUGAGGACGGUAGAGGCGUGUGGAAUUCCGGGUGUAGUGGUGAAAUGCGUAGAGAUGUGGAGGAACACCAGUGGCGAAGGCGACUCUUUGGUCUGUAACUGACGCUGAGGCGCGAAAGCGUGGGGAGCAAACAGG
rnacentral:rRNA from 1 species